rnacentral:rRNA from 1 species
UACCGCGGUUAUACGAGAGGCCCAAGUUGAAAGACACCGGCGUAAAGCGUGGUUAAAUAAAAAUCUAAACUAAAGUUAAACACCUUCAAGACUGUUAUACGUAUCCGAAGAUAGGAGCCUCAAUUACGAAAGUAGCUUUAUAUUAACUGAACCCACGAAAGCUAUAGCA